rnacentral:rRNA from 1 species
GCACCCGCGGUAAUUCCAGCACCAAUAGCGUAUAUUAAUGCUGCUGCUGUUGAAAAGCUCGUAGUUGGAUCAAGAGUUCGACAGUGCAGGGUGGCCUCGCUUGUGCACUUGGCUCCGGUCAUGUGUACGGCGGCGGAUCAACCCCUUGCGCCAAACUGUCGUCUCUAACAGACCGAAGCGGUUCCCUGUGAGUAGGCAACUUUAUUGGGGCUGGAAGCGUUUACGCAUCAACCAUAUGCAUACGGGACGUCGGUCAAAGUUACUGUGAACAAACCAGCGUGUCCAAAACAGGCUUCGCCUGAAUGUUCGAGCAUGGAAUAUCAAGGGAUCGAUUCUCUCGGUUCUUUUUGUUGGUUUUUAACCCGAGAAGGAGUAAUUCAGGUCAAGCUGUCUGGGCUGGGUUCCCCUGCAUUUCGGUGUAGGCCCCAGUUAGGCCUUGCCCUUACGGGAUAAAUAGGGACUCAGGGGGUCGUACGUACUUCCACGUCAGAGGUGAAAUUCUUAGAUCGUGGGAAGACGAACUUCUGCGAAAGCAUUCGACAAGAAUGUCUUCAUUAAUCAAUAACGAGAGUGUGGGGAUCGAAGAUGAUCAGAUACCGUCGUAGUCCACUACUGUAAACAAUGCCGUCUCAGGAUUGAGAAGUGAACCUAAUGACUUUCACAGCACUAACCCCUGAAACGAGAAAUCAAAGAUUAUGGGUUCAGGGGGGAGUACAUUCGCAAGGCUGAAACUUAAAGGAAUUGACGGAAUGACACCACAAGGCGUGGAGUAUGCGGCUUAAUUUGACUCAACACGGGGAAUUUUACUAGGCCAGGACAAUGUAAGGAUUGACAGAUUGAGAGCUCUUUCUCGAUCCAUUGUGUGGUGGUGCAUGACCGCUCCUGGUUGGUGGAGUGAUUUGUCUGGUUGAUUCCGUUAACGAACGAGAUCUCGACCCUUAAAUAGGUGCCCGUGUCGAUUGUAGUCUUGCCUCUGCCUGCUUGCCGGAUUUGAGCAGGACGAGACUGCGGGAAUACUUCUUAAGGGGACUGUGUGCGUCUCUAGCACGCGGAAGAGCGAACCAAUAGCAGGUCUGUGAUGCUCCUAAAUGUCCUAGGCUGCACGCGCACUACACUGAUGCAAUAAACGAGUCUGAGUGCCUUCUGGCACCCUGCCUGGAAGCGGGUGGGAAAUCUUUUGGACUUGCAUCGUGAUGAG